rnacentral:rRNA from 1 species
AUGCCCGCCACAAGGCCGAGGAUGAUAUCUCACCGGCUCGUCGUGUCCGCGGCCGUCGUUGCCGUCGCCGCCCUGCUCGCGCCCGGCGCCGCGGGAUACCCGUGGCAGGAUUGCGUCGACGGCCAAUUCGCGGCCGGCAGCAAGUACCUGGCCAACAUCAACCUCCUCGCCGCCUCCCUCCCCAAGAACGCCUCGGCGUCCCCAGACCUCUUCGCCACCGCCGAGGCCGGCGCCACCCCGGACAAGGUCUGGGCCCUCGCGCUCUGUCGUGGCGACGCCAACGCCACGUCCUGCCUCAGCUGCCUGGCCCAGGCCUUCCGGGACCUGCCCAACGUUUGCGACUACAGCAAGGUGGCCACCAUGUACUACGACUCCUGCACGCUCCACUACUCCAACGCCUCCCGGGACCCCGCGCCGGUGGCGGCGCGGACGUAUAGGUUCUGGGAGUACACAAAUGUCACGUCGGAGAAGAGCCAGUUCAACAGCCUCGUGGCCAGGCUCGUGAACGCCACCGCGGACUACGCUGCGUACAACUCCACGCGGCGGUACGCCUCCGGGGAGGCCGACUUCGACCGGGAGUUCCCCAAGAUCUACAGCUGGGCGCAGUGCACGCCAGACCUGACCGCGGUUCAGUGCCGGCAGUGCCUCGCCAAGAACAUGGUGCUGUUGCCGGAGUAUUUCGUGGACAGUACAGGAGCCAGAGCUCUGCAGGUCAGGUGCAGCUUCCGGUACCAGACCUAUUCCUUCUUUGAUGGCCCUGUCAUGGUGCGCCUGCCAGCACCAGCACCGAGCACGGAAGCACCAGCGCCUGCGCCUGCUGCGGUACCAACGGUUUUGACGUCGCCGCCGCCGGCGGCGGCAUCCACACGAGGGAGAAAAUACAGUGUCCCUGGCAUGGUUCUUAUUAUUCUGCUGCCUACUCUAGCUGCCAUAAACCUUGUGGCUUGCUUCUUUUUCUGGAGAAGGAAGCGGCCACUAUCAAAAGCAAAACAGUCAGAUCCCAGUUAUUUCGCUGACGAGGAGGACAAUGAAAAUGUAGACUCGAUGUUGAUUGACAUUUCAACCUUGCGGGUUGCAACCGGGGAUUUUGCAGAUAGCAACAAGCUUGGUGAUGGCGGAUUUGGCGCGGUGUACAAGGGUAUUCUUCCAGAUGGCGACGAAAUAGCAGUGAAGAGACUAUCGAAGAGCUCAACACAAGGAGUUGAGGAGCUCAAAAAUGAACUCUCUUUGGUUGCAAAGCUUAGGCACAAGAACCUUGUAACACUUCUUGGCGUCUGCUUGGAGCAACAAGAGAGGUUGCUUGUCUACGAGUUUGUUCCUAACCGAAGCCUCGACCUCUUCCUUUUUGCAGAUGUUGAGAAACAUGUAGAACUGGAUUGGGAAAAGAGGUACAAGAUUAUUAAUGGAGUUGCUCGAGGACUGCAAUACCUCCAUGAAGACUCCCAGCUCAGAGUGGUCCAUCGUGAUCUCAAAGCUAGCAACAUCUUGCUUGAUAAAGAGAUGAAUCCGAAGAUAUCAGAUUUUGGAAUUGCGAGACUUUUUGCGCAAGACCAGACCCAUGGAAUAACGAACCGUGUUAUCGGCUCAUACGGAUAUAUGGCGCCAGAGUACGUGAUGCGUGGGAACUACUCUGUGAAAUCUGAUUCAUUCAGCUUCGGCGUCAUGGUUCUUGAGAUUGUAACGGGGAAGAAGAACAAUGACUACAGUAAUUCUAAGGAAUCUCAAGAUCUUCUGAAUGCAAUAUGGGAGCGUUGGAUGGCAAGAACGGUGUUGGACAUGAUGGAUCCGAGCAUGAACGCUAGCUUCUCAGAGAGCGGCGUGCUAAGAUGCAUCCAUAUAGGGCUUUUGUGUGUUCAAGAAAACCCGGCUGAUCGACCGCUUAUGUCGUCUGUGGUCAUGAUGCUCGGAAGUGAUACUGUGUCUCUAUCUGCCCCAUCUAGGCCGGCGUUCUAUGCCAAGAAGGCUAGCAACAACUUGGGAAUCACGUCAACUUAG